rnacentral:rRNA from 1 species
CCUACGGGAGGCAGCAGUGGGGAAUAUUGCGCAAUGGGGGCAACCCUGACGCAGCAACGCCGCGUGAUUGAAGAAGGCCUUCGGGUUGUAAAGAUCUUUAAUCGGGGACGAAUUUUGACGGUACCCGAAGAAUAAGCUCCGGCUAACUACGUGCCAGCAGCCGCGGUAAUACGUAGGAUGCGAGCGUUAUCCGGAUUUAUUGGGUUUAAAGGGUGCGUAGGCGGUCCGUUAAGUCAGCGGUAAAAUUGCGGGGCUCAACCCCGUCGAGCCGUUGAAACUGGCAGACUUGAGUUGGCGAGAAGUACGCGGAAUGCGCGGUGUAGCGGUGAAAUGCAUAGAUAUCGCGCAGAACUCCGAUUGCGAAGGCAGCGUACCGGCGCCAGACUGACGCUGAGGCACGAAAGCGUGGGGAUCGAACAGGAGUAGAUACCCUGGUAGUC